CCUACGGGGCGCAGCAGUGGGGGAUAUUGCACAAUGGGGGAAACCCUGAUGCAGCGACGCCGCGUGAGUGAAGAAGUAUUUCGGUAUGGAAAGCUCUAUCAGCAGGGAAGAAAAUGACGGUACCUGAUUAAGAAGCCCCGGCUAACUACGUGCCAGCAGCCGCGGUAAUACGUAGGGGGCAAGCGUUAUCCGGAUUUACUGGGUGUAAAGGUAGCGUAGACGGCAGCACAAGGCUGGAGUGAAAUGCCGGGGCUUAACCCCGGAACUGCUUUGGAAACUGUGCAGCUAGAGUGCAUGAGAGGUAAGUGGAAUUCCUAGUGUAGCGGGGAAAUGCGUAGAUAUUAGGAGGAACACCAGUGGCGAAGGCGGCUUACUGGACUGUAACUGACGUUGAGGCUCGAAAGCGUGGGGAGCAAACAGGAUUAGAUACCCCUGUAGUC
rnacentral:rRNA from 1 species